UGAUGCUGCAGAAGCCCUGCUGCGUCUGCAACAGGCAGACACACCUGCUAGUGUUCCUGGAACACCUGACAUGUCAGGCACAGAAGUUGAUGAACUUGCCCUGGUGCAAGAAAAUGCUACCAAUGAUGAGGAAACUGAAUCACUACCAGGUUGCGCUGUUGGUAGCGACUUGACCAUGUCUGACAUUUCAAACAUCCAGGCCGAAAACCACAGACAGAAUGAAGAAGUGUACAGGCUGCGAUCAGAGCUGUGCAGGCACAUACUUGACGAGGACACCUUUCGUGCAAACGAAAGAAUGGUCCCAUUCUACACUGGUCUACCAAAUUUUGCGAUUUUACUUGCUGUUUUCCAUUUUUAAGAAGACAGUGUAGCGCACGGACCCUGCAACUCUCUUACUAGGUUCCAAGAGAUGAUUGUAACGCUCAUGCGAUUUAGACUCAACUCCCCA